rnacentral:rRNA from 1 species
UACGAAGGGGGCUAGCGUUGCUCGGAAUUACUGGGCGUAAAGCGCCCGUAGGCGGAUUGUUAAGUCGGGGGUGAAAUCCUGGAGCUCAACUCCAGAACUGCCUUCGAUACUGGCGAUCUCGAGUUCGGGAGAGGUGAGUGGAACUGCGAGUGUAGAGGUGAAAUUCGUAGAUAUUCGCAAGAACACCAGUGGCGAAGGCGGCUCACUGGCCCGAUACCGACGCUGAGGUGCGAAAGCGUGGGGAGCAAACAGG